CAGAUUUUCUAACCUAACGCCCUCAACUUUGUCUAUUAAUACCACGCUUCGCAGUAGAGAGCGACGAUUUUGUCAGAGGAAAAAGUUAUUUGGCAUGCAUAAACGUUGUGGUUACAUACGCAUGCGCACAUGACCACAGUGCAGGACUGUAUCAUCAGUUUAACAAGUUUUCUAACCUGUUAAGGCGUGAACUUUAACACUUAAUAUCUCGGCUCGCGGGGCAGAGCGACGUUUUUUUCGGCCGGAUUCCUUCAUUUUAAGUAAAAACGCGUCGAUUGAAUCCUCUUUUAUUAAAAUCGGAGUGCUCAGCCUGGCAACCUUCUAAGCUGAGAGCUCGCGCCAGAUUCCGUGCGAUGCCUAAUCGGAAGAUUGAGAUCUUGUCUUGAAAUUUGGGAUCGUCGCCGUGAGCUUCCACGCAACGUAGCAACUCGUAGCAGUCGUUAGAGGAGAAGAUCACAUCUUUGGCUUCCAACAGUGAUCACAACUUACUAUUUUGGCGUCAGAUUUGAGACCAAAAGGGAUACUAAUAAACUCGCUGCUUCUCGAAACUCGCCGAUUCCGUACAUCUGAUGAAACUCGCAGUAUUUCCCUAAAUAUAAUAAAAUCGUUAGACAAGUCGUUACUCGCAUCAGACAAUUUCGUUUGUUGUUGCAUCGAUCGUUUACCU